UACGUAGGGGGCGAGCGUUGUCCGGAAUCACUGGGCGUAAAGCGCACGUAGGCGGAUUUGUCAGUCAGGGGUGAAAUCCCGGGGCUCAACCUCGGAACUGCCUUUGAUACAGCAAGUCUUGAGUUCGAGAGAGGUGGGUGGAAUUCCUAGUGUAGAGGUGAAAUUCGUAGAUAUUAGGAAGAACACCGGUGGCGAAGGCGGCCCACUGGCUCGAUACUGACGCUGAGGUGCGAAAGCGUGGGGAGCAAACAGG
rnacentral:rRNA from 1 species